rnacentral:tRNA from 1 species
GGCGUGGUUCAAUGGUAGAACAACGGUCUCCAACACCGUUGACGCGGGUUCGAUUCCUGCCGCCC